UACGGAGGGUGCAAGCGUUAAUCGGAAUUACUGGGCGUAAAGCGUACGCAGGCGGUCAUGUAAGUCAGAUGUGAAAGCCCCGGGCUUAACUUGGGAAUUGCAUUUGAAACUGGUUUCCUAGAGUCUUGUAGAGGGGGGUAGAAUUCCAGGUGUAGCGGUGAAAUGCGUAGAGAUGUGGAGGAAUACCGGUGGCGAAGGCGGCCCCCUGGACAAAGACUGACGCUCAGGUGCGAAAGCGUGGGGAGCAAACAGG
rnacentral:rRNA from 1 species